ensembl:lncRNA
AUGCCUACAACAACAUUAGCUGCUACGACUACAUUAGCUGAUACUACAACAUUAGCUGCUACUACAACAUCUGUUCCUACUACUACAUUAGCUGACACAACAACAUCAGAAGUUACUACUACAUCAGUCCCUACAACAUAUGCUACAACAUCCAUCCCUACCACAAUAUUAGCUGAUAUCUCAACAUCAGAAGUCACAACUAAAUUGUUCCCUACAACAUCUGCAACAACAUCUGGCCAAACCACUACAUUAACUCAUACUACAAUAUCAGAAAUUACUACUACAUCAGUCCCUACGACAUCUGCCACAUCAUCCAUCCCUACCACAACAUUAGCUCAUACUACAACAUCACAAAUUACUACCACAUCAGACCCUACAACAUCUGCAAAAACAUCCAUCCCUACCACAACAUUAGCUGAUACCUCAAAAUCAGAAGUCACAACUAAAUUGUUCCCUACUACAUCUGUUCCUACUACAACAUUAGCUGACACAACAACAUCAGAAGUUACUACCACAUCAGUCCCUACAACAUCUGCAACAACAUCUGGCCAAACCACUACAUUAGCUGAUACUACGACAUCAGGAAUUACUACCACAUCAGUCCCUAUAACAUCUGUUCCAACAUCAAUCCCAACCACAACAGUAGCUGCUACGACUACAGAUAUGCCUACAACAACAUUAGCUGCUACAACUACAUUAACUGAUACUACAUUAGCUGAUACUACAACAUCCAUCCCCACCACUACAUUAGCUGACACAACAACAUCAGAAAUUACUACUACAUCAGUCCCUACAACAUCUGCAACAACAUCCAUCCCAACCACUACAUUAGCUGAUAUCUCAACAUCAGAAGUCACAACUAAAUUGUUCCCUACAACAUCUGCAACAACAUCUGGCCAAACCACUACAUUAGCUGAUACUACAACAUCAGAAAUUACUACUACAUCAGUCCCUACGACAUCUGCCACAUCAUCCAUCCCUACCACAACAUUAGCUCAUACUACAACAUCACAAAUUACUACCACAUCAGACCCUACAACAUCUGCAAAAACAUCCAUCCCUACCACAACAUUAGCUGAUACUACAACAUCAGAAGUCACAACUAAAUUGUUCCCUACAACAUCUGUUCCCACCACUACAUUAGCUGCUACCACAACAUCUGUUCCUACUACAACAUCAGCUGCUUCUAAAACAUCCAUCCCCACCACUACAUUAGCUGAUACUACAACAUCAGGAAUUACUACUAUAUCAGUCCCUAUAACAUCUGUUCCAACAUCAAUCCCUACCACUACAGUAGCUGCUACGACUACAGAUAUGCCUACAACAACAUUAGCUGCUACUACAACAUUAGCUGCUACUACAACAUUAGCUGACACAACAACAUUAGCUGCUACCACAACAUCCAUCCCUACCACAACAUUAGCUGAUACUACAACAUCAGAAGUCACAACUAAAUUGUUCCCUACAUCUGCAACAACAUCUGGCCAAACCACAACAUUAACUGAUACUACAAUAUCAGAAAUUACUACUACAUCAGUUCCUACAACAUAUGCAACAAGAUCCAUCCCUACCACAACAUUAGCAGUUCCUACAACAUUAGGAAUUACUACCACAUCAGUCCCUAUAACAUCUGUUCCAACAUCAAUCCCUACCACUACAGUAGCUGAUACCUCAAAAUCAGAAGUCACAACUAAAUUGUUCCCUACAACAUCUGUUCCUACUACAACAUUAGCUGAUACUACAACAUCCAUCCCUACCACAACAUUAGCUGACACAACAACAUCAGAAAUUACUACUACAUCAGUCCCUACAACAUCUGCAACAACAUCCAUCCCCACCACUACAUUAGCUGACACAACAACAUCAGAAGUUACUACCACAUCAGACCCUAAAACAUCUGCAACAACAUCCAUCCCAACCACAACAUUAGCUGACACAACAACAUCAGAAAUUACUACUACAUCAGUCCCUACAACAUCUGCAACAACAUCCAUCCCCACCACUACAUUAGCUGACACAACAACAUCAGAAGUUACUACCACAUCAGACCCUAAAACAUCUGCAACAACAUCCAUCCCAACCACAACAUUAACUGAUACUACAAUAUCAGAAAUUACUACCACAUCAGUCCCUAUAACAUCUGUUCCAACAUCAAUCCCAACCACAACAGUAGCUGCUACGACUACAGAUAUGCCUACAACUACAUUAGCUGAUACAACAACAUUAGCUGACACAACAACAUCUGUUCCUACCACAACAUCUGUUCCUACUACAACAUUAGCUGACACAACAACAUCAGAAAUUACUACCACAUCAGACCCUACAACAUAUGCUACAACAUCUGGCCAAACCACUACAUUAGCUGAUACUACAACAUUAGCUGCUUCUACAACAUCAGAGAUAACAACUACAUCAGUCCCUACGACAUCUGCAACAACAUCCAUCCCUACCACUACAGUAGCUGAUACUACAACAUCAGAAGUCACAACUAAAUUGUUCCCUACAACAUCUGCAACAACAUCUGGCCAAACCACUACAUUAGCUGACACAACAACAUCAGAAGUUACUACUACAUCAGUCCCUACAACAUAUGCUACAACACACAUCGCUACCACUACAGUAGCUGCUACGACUACAGAUAUGCCUACAACAACAUUAGCUGACACAACUACAUUAGCUGCUACAACAACAUUAGCUGAUACUACAACAUUAGCUGACACAACAACAUCUGUUCCUACUACAACAUUAGCUGCUACCACAACAUCCACCCCUACCACUACAUUAGCUGAUACUACAACAUCAGAAGUCACAACUAAAUUGUUCCCUACAUCUGGCCAAACCACUACAUUAACUCAUACUACAAUAUCAGAAACUACUACUACAUCAGUUCCUACAACAUAUGCUAUAACAUCAAUCCCUACCACUACAGUAGCUGAUACCUCAAAAUCAGAAGUCACAAUUAAAUUGUUCCCUACAACAUCUGUUCCUACACUGUAA